UUCGCAAUGCCCGAAAGGGUGACGAAGCGACGCCGCGUGUGGGAAGAAGGCCUUCGGGUUGUAAACCACUGUCGGGAGUUAAGAAAUGCAAGGAUAUUAAUAGUGUCUUUGUUUGACUAAGGCUCCGGAGGAAGCCACGGCUAACUCUGUGCCAGCAGCCGCGGUAAUACAGAGGCGGCAAGCGUUGUUCGGAAUUAUUGGGCGUAAAGAGCACGUAGGCGGCUAUGUAAGUCGGUUGUGAAAGCCUUCCGCUCAACGGAAGAACAGCAUCCGAUACUACAUGGCUUGAGUGUGGGAGGGGAGAGUGGAACUUCUGGUGGAGCGGUGAAAUGCGUAGAUAUCAGAAGGAACGCCGGCGGCGAAAGCGGCUCUCUGGCCCAUAACUGACGCUGAGUGUGCGAAAGCUAGGGGAGCAAACGGGAUUAGAUACCCCGGUAGUCCUAGCCGUAAACGAUGGGCACUAAGUAGAGGGGUUUU
rnacentral:rRNA from 1 species